rnacentral:rRNA from 1 species
UACGUAGGGGGCAAGCGUUGUCCGGAUUUAUUGGGCGUAAAGAGCGUGUAGGCGGCUAGGUAGGUCCGCUGUGAAAACUCGAGGCUCAACCUCAAGACGUCGGUGGAAACCAUCUAGCUAGAGUCCCGAAGAGGAGAGCGGAAUUCCCGGUGUAGCGGUGAAAUGCGCAGAUAUCGGGAGGAACACCCGUGGCGAAGGCGGCUCUCUGGGACGGUACUGACGCUGAGACGCGAAAGCGUGGGGAGCGAACAGG